CUUCAUGACCCACAUUUCAUGUCUACGGAGCCUCCAAAGAUAAAAGAUGACAGUACAAUACUUGCCGGUAACAAGGCUCCGGCUAUACCUUUUUACAUUCACCAAAAUAAGUCCCAAAACACAAGAACAUGGGCGGCAUGAGCCACACAGGGCCCCGAUGUAAAGGGGCUCACCAAUACAGCCAACAGGAAUAAGGAAGAGCUACGGACAGUGCAUCGGAGUACCUGCUAUAGAUCCACCUAUAAUCAUAACACGAAUGCAGUGCCCCCAAAAAAAGGGAUGUCAGCAUAUUUGAAUUGUACUGGUAUAUAGCAAAAACAUGUCCCAAGUAAACUCAAGUCGUACGCAAAAAGUAAACAACAAUGGAAGUGGCAACCAAACACACAUAGAAGGUACAAUCAAGUAAACAAAGGGGCAAUCAGUGCCCCAGAGGUUACAAGAUCUCAUGCUGUCUCCUUUCACAAUUCCACAUCAAUGAUUUCACAAAUUUGUUCAAGUGUAUAUUUCAAUAGUGAUUUCGAUCACUUUUCCACCCUUAUUCCAUUGUGAUAAAGUUUGAGAGAGUUGAAAACAGUUGAGAGACAGUUUGACAACGUAGUUGAAAGAAUUGAGAGAGAGUUUAAGAAAAAAGUUGGAAGAAUUGCAAGAGUCUUUUGAAAUCAUUUAGACCUUCGCAGGGCAUCACACAAACAGGAGGGAAAAGGGGAAGGGAACAAAUAAGUAAAGUGUACACAGAUAACAUAUUGGAGGAAAGUAAUUAGACAUGGUUGUAAAACAAAAGUUUAGUUCUUACUGUAGCAAACUCUAAUACACUUAGCCUCAAGCAGAGGAUUUAGGUUAACCAGAUAGCCAAACAGACAUGGAUGCAUGGUAGUAGUACACAAGGAAAAUAGACUAGUAAAUAACAUGCUAGUGACAAGAAGACCAACAAAACCAUCAGUAAAAGCACACAAGGAACAUUAUGAAAUGCAAAAUAAAUAAAAACAUGUUGUUGUGGAAAUUAUAUUUUAAAGGGAUGACAUACUAGUUGCAAGUAAUGGACCACGAUGACAAAAGUGCACAGAGGAACAAGGUGAGCAGAGAGUGUAAGUAGCAGAGAGAAUAACCGCAGUAUGAGAAUAGCAGCAGCAACAGACCCAAGUAAACAAACAAUAGAACCCACUAUUGUAGAAGUAAUCAACCAAAACUACUCAAUCUUGGCUUUCAGCCAAUUCAGUGUUCAAAUAGGAGAAUGAGAGAGGUUGUAUAGAAAACAGUAUAGAGAGAGCACUGAAGGUUUCUGAAAGAACGUUUUUGAGAGAUUGUAUUAGUGAUUGUUUGUGUCAAGUGGGAAGAGAGGAGUAGUACUUAUAGCUUUUUGAAAAAAUAGUAGAGAAUAAGGUAACAUGUACCUAAUUAUAGAACAGUACCAAUUUUACUCUACCACAGGACCUUAACUCCAAUUAAUCUGGUAUUCAUGAUUCGAACGGGAAUGCAGCUAUAUUAUAUAAGGAAAGAAUCAAUCAGACGACUAAUUACACCACAGUAAAUUAGUAGGCCUGUAGUAUGUAAUAGAUGCCACACACAUAAUAUUUGAAUAAGGAACACAUAUACUGAAUAUUGUAAAAAUAUUUAAGAGAACAAAUAUUGUAAGAAUGCAAAAUUAACUCUGAAAUUAGUCAAAGAAUCACGAACGAGACUAAAAAUUAGAGGGAAUCAGUGCUAAUAGAGAGCAUUUCACAAGCAAGGAAAUAAUUCAAGAAAUCUGUGUAAGACCCUUAAAGGAAAACGCAUACAUAUUAGGGAUUCAAAUAGAUGCACAUAGUCAUUUCGAAUAAAAAUUAGACCUAUAAAAACAAUAGUCGUGAAAAAUCAGAGAACAUUAUGCAAGAAAUCAUAGAAGAGUAAAGGGUUGGAACCCUAGUAAAGAAAAGUUUAAAGCAUGGAACUCAGAAACAAACAUGCUAGUAACACAACAACAUAUAAUACAUGCAUACAUAAUAAUCAAAGGAAGCAGGAGAUGUAGAGAUCUUGAAAGGGGGUCGGAAACUUAGCAGGGAAAAUUAAAGUAUGGAACCUAGGUUAACAAGGAAACCAAACAACUAAGUAAGAUAAACAAACACAAACGACCAUAUAGUACUCAGAAAGAGCAGAAGAAAUGAUUUUGAAGAAGGGGGUCAUAAACCCUAAUUUGAAAGAGUAGUAACCAUCUGAAAUUUAAAAAAACUGGAAAUACUAAGUAAAAAUAGAGUAGAAAACAAAAUGAAACUGAGAGUUGUUUUAAAGAUCAGAGAUUAAAGAGGUUUGAGCAGAAAAAAUUAGGGUUUUCAAACAAAUUAGGAAAAACGAAGAACCUGGAUGUGAAACUCGUAUAUAAUGCCAUAGAAGGGAUCAUCGGACAAAAACCACCUGAGAAAAGCCGGCAAAGGACCCAAGCAAAGCCUUCAAUGACCAUAUUUCAUGGGGGAUGUCUUUGGGUUACGAGCUUCAGAGGUGAGCAACGAUGAUAAGGGUUCCAUAGUAACUGGAGAUCGAGAGAAGUGAGGGGGGUAUAGUCGGAGAGGCGACGAGUUUCAUCGGAGAACAAGGAGAGAACCAGAAAUUUCUAGAGAGCAAUUGAUUAGAGAGAGAGAC
rnacentral:lncRNA from 1 species